rnacentral:rRNA from 1 species
UACGAAGGGGGCUAGCGUUGUUCGGAAUUACUGGGCGUAAAGCGCGCGCAGGCGGUUUUCCAAGUCAGCGGUGAAAGCCCGGAGCUCAACUCCGGAACUGCCAUUGAAACUGUUGAACUUGAGGACGAGAGAGGUGAGUGGAAUUCCCAGUGUAGAGGUGAAAUUCGUAGAUAUUGGGAAGAACACCGGUGGCGAAGGCGGCUCACUGGCUCGUUUCUGACGCUCAGGCGCGAUAGCGUGGGGAUCAAACAGG